CUGCAAUUACAGCACCUGGAGGAGCUGAUACUCUGUGCCAACCAGAUCAGCAGGAUAACCUCGGCCAACCUGCCCCGGACACUGAAGGUGGGUGAGCAGAGCCUUGUGAUCAGUGGGAUCAGAAAGAGAUCCCAUGGGAACGCUGCACAAGCUGAGCAGCUCGAGGGUGUGCCAGGAACUGCUCGUUGCAAAGGGUGUUUGUUGUUCCCUCUGUCCUGUGCAGGUGCUGGAGCUCUGCUGCAACACUGUGGCUGAUCUUCAGGAGCUGUGCUGCUCAGCCCCCUCCGCAGCUGCAGCACCUGGGGCUGGGGUACAACAGGCUGUGUGGCCCCUCGCAGGACAAGUACCUCACUGCGGACUUCUGGCCAAAUCUCGUCUCCCUUGACCUGAGCUUUAACAACUUAACAGAGCUGCUGGAGCUGGUCUCCCAGCUCUCCAGUCUGCAGAAGCUCCGGGUCCUGGUGCUCCAAGGGAACCCUCUGGCUCUCAUUCCUGCUUACAGAGGCUUUGUUGUGGACGGCCUGCCCCAGCUGUCCGUCCUGGACUGACAUCCACAUAGAGCCCAAUGACGAGAGGCACCAGUUCCAUGGUUUGGCGAGGCAGCCAGAGCUGAUAAGAAGUGAAGCACAAGUGGUUGUGAGCAUUGGGAAGAUCAAGGGAGUUCCUGAUCCCAGCACUCUCCAGGAACUGGAGGUUGACACCAAGGCAGCGGCGAUCACCUACAGCUACUGUGUGACCUACGAGUUCGCAGAGGGAGAGGAGGUGGAGGACGGUGGCAGCGCUGAGCACAUUUGUUUGUCACCCCUGGAAAGCCCUGGGCAGACACCAUUGACUGCAGCUACAGGAAGGAGCACACUGCCAAGGACUUGGUGGGGACUGAAGGGCUACCUGGCGGCUGGAACGAUCGUCUCAGUGGUAGAGGAGAAGGUGCUCUCGUGGCCUGUUGAUGCUGACUCAGAAGAAGGUGCAGUAACAAACAAGAAGGCAGGACAGGGGCUAAAGAAGGAUGGUGGCAAGGUAGGAUGCCAGGAGGGAACAAUGUCCAAAAACCUUCUGAGCUACAACAAUAGUGAUGGGGCAAGGAGGGACCUUCUCCUGUGCCAGUUUUGGGUGUCAGGGAGUAUUUCUCCAUCCCAGACCUCUAGACAAAUUCCUCCCUGCUGUGGGAGGAGGGCAGCAGCUGUUUUACACACCCCUCAGGCUGGAUACAGAAGGUGGGCGAGUGGCUGGGCCCAGGUUACCUGCUGCCUGAUAAAGGGGCCCCAACCCUCAGCUGACACUGAUCCCAUACCGGUGCUCUGCAGGGUCCCGUGCCCAAGGACAAGCAGAAGCAGAAGCAGCAGGAGAAGAAGAAGAAGAAGAAGAAGAAGCCGUGUGAACUCCGCAGCGACCCACCCAUUCGGAGGACCCUGGGCUCUAGGAGAGUGAGCCUGGAGGCCCUGCUGGCCACUGAGGACCUGGUGGCAACUGUGUGUGACUUUGGGAUCCUCAUCACCGAGCAGGCCGCUGCAGCCACUGAGUCUGGAGGAGAAAGUGGUAAGGAGCAUGUCCUGGGGCAGGGCGGUGGGGACGGGCUGCUGGGGAGGGGUUUCAGCACAUCCUGCCCUGCUCAUCCGUCCCUCAGUUCCCUCUCCAAAAAAUGGGGCUGAAAUAGCCCUGCUGGAGCACCACCCACCACUGCUGGCAUCGUUAUUUGAAAUUGGCAUUAUCAGUAAGUGCUGCUACUUUUUGUGGGCUUAUGGUAAGAAAAUAGGUGAGUUUAUCUUAAUUUCCAAGAAUGUGAAAGCAACCCCUCCUGCUUCCACUGAUCCUCUCUCUCUCAGCAUGGCAACAUGCACCAGCUGUCCUGACACUUUGUGUUUCCUGGAGUCUCUUCUCUUCUCUGGGCAGCCCCUCUGCUGUGCUCCCGCUUCCUGUCACCACGUUCUUUGGCCCGUUAAAUCCUGGUGCCAACCCAGGCGGUGAUGACUGUCACAGGACUGAAUGUGGGCACUGAAUUUCAACACCGCCUGAGUGU
rnacentral:lncRNA from 1 species